rnacentral:rRNA from 1 species
AAUUUGAUCUGAAAUCAGGCGGGAUUACCCGCUGAACUUAAGCAUAUCAAAGGGGGAGGGGAAGA